rnacentral:lncRNA from 1 species
AGAGGAAGGAGAGAUCAUGGCGGACGGGAGGCAAGACUAGCCUGCAGCUCUGGACAGAGCAGCGAGUGGGAGCUCGCAUUGUAAACUUUAGCUCCAGAUGGACGGCAAAAACAAACCAGCAAUCCCCAGAGGACCCACAGACCCUCUGAAGGAAGUGGGCUGCUCCUGCAGGACCCGGGAGACCCCCAAAACUGUGAGUGUCCAGCUGCCGAAGUGGGAAAGGGAAACCCUCCUCUCCGGAACAGACACCCCCUGAGAAGUCUAUUUGUGGGAGAAGUUUCCGACUUUACCUGGAGCUGAGUCAGUCUGGAGAGCUGACUGAAAUACAGGGAUAGAGGAGGCAGCAGCAAGGCCCUGGGAGCUGAAUGGGUCCCCGGGCAGCCCAUUCCUGCCUGGCACCACAGGGAUCCAACGGGAGAGGAACAGAGGGUAAAACUACACGGAGAGAAGGAAAUCUCUAGCUGAACUUUGUAACAAUUCGAACAGCGUGAGAAGUCUCCUGGCCAGAACUCGGGGGAGGACACAAAUCUCCUGCACAGUUAAUAUCCAGAGUCACACGUGGAGAGGAAGCAUCACAAUGAGACCAUACAACCAUAUAAUCUGUUCAAGUCCUAGAAGGUGUUGGCAGAGCUGCAGGACUGACCUAGGUCAAUGGCUGUGGGGGAAGAAAAGACACCAGAUGUUUCCGAUCAAGAGACAAGAGAAACAUUCAGCGUGACCCUAGAAAAUCUUUCUAAAGAGAUUUCACAACACUCAGCUCAUGUUUCGGGUCCAUGAAACCAUCUUUAGAUGAAUGAUGCCUUGUUACCUGUGAGAGGAAGUGAGCAGCGAGGAGUCCUGUCAGUUCCGGAAGGAGUAUUUGGGUUACUGUUCUUCAUUGUCUGCAGUUCUGUCUUGCUCAGUCGCCCAGGCUGAAGUGCAGUGGUGUGAUCAUAGCUCACUGCAGCCUCAACUUCCUGGAGUCAAGCAAGCCUCCCACAUCAGCCUCCUGAGUAGAUUGGAGACCUGUUGUGUGUUACCUUUGGAAGGUUUUCCACAGUUGAGAUCCAGUUGCUCCAGCAUCAUUUGUUGAGUGGUCUCUCUUCAUCCACAGAGCUCCAGAGUGUCUCCUCUUACAGGACUUCUACACGUUGGGCACAAAUUUCAGCAUGGCGUUAAGAAGAACUAACCAGCGUUGAAUAUCCUCAUGGAAUAGUCCCUUCUCUGCCGACUGAUAGUGUUUCGCUUUGUCAGCACCCUUGCUGGGGACCAAAUUGUGUCCUGCCGCAAGUCAUACGGUGAAGCCUGAAGCCCCAGGGUGACUGUAUUUGGAGACAAGGCCUUUAGGCAGAGUCACGUCUCUGUCUGCAUUUCAUCUUCUCUUUCCCAACAACUUUCAAGAACUGUGAAGGGUCUGAUUUGACUCAACGUCCAAGCUACCAUGUUGGUCUUCGAGGAGGCACAAGAGCCUUGGAUCAGAGACAAAAAUCUCGGUUACUCACAGCAGAGAAAUCAGUAUGAGCUUUCCUUGUGCCUGAGUUCCCCUUACUAUCCAAAUCCCAGGGGGAUGAUUUACACAGAUCCAGCAUCCUCCCAGGCCCCUGGGCUCACAACACUAACAGUGUGCCGGCUGGCAAGGAAGUCUCAGCGCAUGCAACACCAUAAUCCCACAGCGGGCAACGGGAGGCAGACUGGGGGCUGAGAACAAUAAAUUAACAAAAUAGUCAAUGGCAUUUUAAAGAAAGAUGAAGGGAUCAAGGCUGAGGAACUGCACAGGAGGAAGCUGUCUCCACCAGGAGCUGGAUCAGAUGCUGCUCGCUGUCUACCUAUUGUUGACGUCCUCCUUCCCACGUGGAUGCAACGUGAGCAGUCAGAAAGUCAAACUUCACGGAACGACAGAGGUGCCAAAACGGCAACUCCACCACCUGUCCGAAGAUCUAAGAGAACACCAGCUGUCUGACAGUGGCUUGAACAUUAUACAUUCAGCUUUUCACUUACAAAUAUAGCUGUGAAUUCACAGGGAGUAAUCCUACGUGCUGGAUCUCAUUCUCAAGUGGGAAAAUUCUAUAGAAAAACUGAUGUCAAAUUAGCCAUUUGUGGUGGUUGCUGAAGAAGACACACCAAGUCAGAUGCUCCUGACUAAGCAAGGCGAUACCCUCCAACUGAGCAUGGAAGCCCUACUGCAAUAGGAGGGCCUUCAUCAUCCACACUGUAGAGUGAACACUCAGAAACUGGCUCCUGAACGAAUCCGGUUCCUUCAGAACUCCAGCAUGCCCCCCUGGGUGACCUAUGUUUUCUGGAAAGCGGUUCUACAAAGCUGUGUUUUAGAGGAGGAAUCUUACUGGCAGACAGGAUUUGGCUUUGUUUAGCUAUCCGUACUGUUUCUGCAACACUUGCUUUUGCUACUGAAAGGAGUUAUGCGGUUUGCAACCUAAAACCACCACACUGAUUGUCAGUGGUGACUUUCUGAGUGACUGACGCAAGGUGGACCCUCAAAGAGACCUGAGGUACUUGUUGGCCGAUUUACCUUCACAUCAUAACGCACGCAGAGUGAACACCUCACAUGCAAGUACAGCAAGAAACCCCAUAUACCAGUGGGAAUGUUGCCACAAUGUCUCCCAUGACAGCGGACAGACCUGGAGCCGUGCAUUCUUUGGGGAGGAAUCGGCUCCUUCCAUUGGAGCUGUAGGAUCUCUCCCCUCUCACCAGGUCUCCCACACACGCACUUUUGCCCCUAGAGGGGCCUACUUGAAGCUCACGUCUUCAGUGUGCAGAUUCAGAAACACUUGAGCACAGAAGAUCAUGGCCUCUCAGGGGAGGGAGGAACUCACAAGGUUAUCCAGCCCAACCUAUCAUCAGAGGCUGAAAUAUGUUUUGAACAGUGUGUCCACGCUCACAGUCCGCAGUGCUUCCUCUGAACUCUGGGAGCAAGUCUUUGCACAAAAAAGACACUUGGCUGACAGCAUCCGGAAAUCACCUGCAAUCCCAAAGCCUCCGGAAUGCACCUGCAAUCCCACAGCGUCCGGAAUGCACCUGCAAUCCCACAGCAUCUGGAAUGCACCUGCAAUCCCGCAGCAUCUGGAAUGCACCUGCAAUCCCACAGCAUCCGGAAUGCACCUGCAAUCCCACAUCCAUAGCAUCUGGAAUGCACCCGCAAUCCCACAGCAUCCGGAAUGCACCUGCAAUCCCACAGCAUCCGGAAUGCACCCGCAAUCCCACAGCGUCCGGAAUGCACCUGCAAUCCCACAGCAUCCAGAAUGCACAAUCCCACAGCAUCCGGAAAGCACCUGCGAUCCCACAGCAUCUGGAAUGCACCUGCAAUCCCACAGCAUCAGGAAUGCACCUGCAAUCCCACAGCAUCCAGAAUGCACCUGCAAUCCCACAUCCACAGCAUCCGGAAUGCACCCGCAAUCCCACAGCAUCCGGAAUACACCCGCAAUCCCACAGCAUCCGGAAUACACCCGCAAUCCCACAGCAUCCAGAAUGCACCUGCAAUCCAACAGCAUCCGGAAUGCACCGGCAAUCCCACAGCAUCCGGAAUGCACCCGCAGCCCCACAGCAUCCGGAAUACACCCGCAAUCCCACAGCAUCUGGAAUGCACCCGCAAUCCCACAUCCAGAGCAUCCGGAAUGCACCCGCAAUCCCACAGCAUCCGGAAUGCACCCGCAAUCCCACAGCAUCCGGAAUGCACCCGCAAUCCCACAGCAUCCGGAAUGCACCCGCAAUCCCACAGCGUCCGGAAUGCACGUGCAAUCCCACAUCGACAGCGUGUUUUCUCACUGUCCCUGGGGAUUCCAAGCCACUAGCCUCUGUUCCCACAGGAAAGUCUCUUUUUUGUCUCUCCUUCAAUUCUAUGAUUAUAUUCACGUUGAAAUAUAUCAACUUUAAAAAACACUUGUAUUGUGACAUAUCAGUUCUCAUACCUGUAAGGACAGCACUCCUAUCAGAAAUAUGAAUAUUACUUGUGAGUGUGACAAAUAAACAUAAACUCAAGAGUAGGUCUUUUCAAAUACAUUCUAGCUAAAAAAAAAAAAAAAAGCUAAAUGAACAUGCAGACCUCCAUGAAGAAUAAACAGCUGGCAAGAGAAUGUGUGAGCAGGGAGGGGCUCUUUAAUAUGAAUAAAAGGCUCAGUGGACUCACAAUGGCUGUUUGCAAAUACACGAAGGCACUCCGUAUAGAUCAGAGUCAGGAAUUGUUUUAUUAGGCCUAGAGAGAUAGAGCUACCAUCAAUCACUGGAUAUAAGUCACAUAGGAAGCCUGGCACAAAGUAAAAAUGUUCAAACAUGAAAUCAGCUGUCUCUGGGGCAAUGAGCUGUCACUACAGUUAUUUGAUGUUAGCUGGGCAUUGACUUGUGAGAAUAUUAUCAAGAAAAUUCAACUGCAGGUAGUCCUGAGUGAUGUCCAAUGUCCACUCCAGCAAUGGAACGAAAUGACAAUGACUACGCUGUGGUUUCCUCGGAUAUAGACGAAAUACAUCUGCUGAUAAACACAGGCUCCCAUACGUUUAAUGAUCAAUCCAGGCCUGCCUCCAGUAACAAACAGCAGAUCUUCAAAGACCAGCCCGGACACAGACAGCCCAGAAUUUAGGCCAUGUUCUUUGAAUAUCUACAAUAUUACAAAAUUCCAGUGUAGCUCACUGAGUCAGUGUGUGUGUAUAAAAUUAAAAAUGCAAAAAUUAUUUUUUCUGGUUCAGGGAUUUCUGUGAUAAAUGUUUUUCUUUUUAAAUAUGAACAGUAAGUCGAACAAUAAAUAAAUGUAAUAAGACAAGAGUAAGAGCCUUCUACUUGUGUAAAGACUUUGUGCUAGGAAGGUGUGUAGCCGCCUCUACAUAUUCAAUUUUAACUUUCUCUUAUUGUUUCUUGAAGGACAGGACUGCAGAGCUCACUGUUUAAGGGUGACUAUGCUCUCCUGUCCAUUCAUUCAUGGAGACCUGAGUUUUUCUCUAGGGACAUAUUAAAGUAGCCUGGAGUUAGAACAGCACAAACCCUUCAAAAAGUGGUAAAUUUCUCAGCGGAUUCCACAGUUGUCAUGAAUGUGAUUAAUAGGUGAUCAAGGCUCACCUCUUCAUCUGGAGCUACCUAGACAAGCAGAAAGGGAAAUUCUAUUUCCAGCUCCUAAGCAAAUAAGUAACUGAAAACAUUUAAUUUCUGGGAGAUCUUACAAGCAGGGCCACUCUAAAAUGAACACUGGGGAGUCAAAAAAAAAAAAAAAAGGAAAAUGACUGCUCCUUACCUGCACCAAUGACUCGGGUGAUGCUACCCUUGAAGAUUCCGUUGGUCCUGAUCCAACAGAACAUAGAGAGUGACACUGUGUAUCUUCUAUGAAGAAGCUAGCACAGUGUGGAAAAUUGGCCUUACAAAAAUGUGUCAUGUUCAUUACUUUUAAUUAAGGAAUUAAAUUAUGUUUUAAUUUCCUGGGGUUUAUCACACACUUAUUUAAUAGUAAAUUAUAUUAUUACCAGGAUUCAUGGUGUGGUGUGUGUGUGUGUGUAUGUGUGUGCAAAGUAGGAAACAUGAGAGAUAAAUGUAAUUUAAGCAUAGAAUGAAAUAAAAAUGUGUUACAGAAAAAAUGAA